GGUGAGUAACACGUGGGCAAUCUGCCCUGCACUCUGGGACAAGCCCUGGAAACGGGGUCUAAUACCGGAUACUGACCCGCUUGGGCAUCCAAGCGGUUCGAAAGCUCCGGCGGUGCAGGAUGAGCCCGCGGCCUAUCASCUUGUUGGUGAGGUAAUGGCUCACCAAGGCGACGACGGGUAGCCGGCCUGAGAGGGCGACCGGCCACACUGGGACUGAGACACGGCCCAGACUCCUACGGGAGGCAGCAGUGGGGAAUAUUGCACAAUGGGCGAAAGCCUGAUGCAGCGACGCCGCGUGAGGGAUGACGGCCUUCGGGUUGUAAACCUCUUUCAGCAGGGAAGAAGCGAAAGUGACGGUACCUGCAGAAGAAGCGCCGGCUAACUACGUGCCAGCAGCCGCGGUAAUACGUAGGGCGCGAGCGUUGUCCGGAAUUAUUGGGCGUAAAGAGCUCGUAGGCGGCUUGUCGCGUCGGUUGUGAAAGCCCGGGGCUUAACCCCGGGUCUGCAGUCGAUACGGGCAGGCUAGAGUUCGGUAGGGGAGAUCGGAAUUCCUGGUGUAGCGGUGAAAUGCGCAGAUAUCAGGAGGAACACCGGUGGCGAAGGCGGAUCUCUGGGCCGAUACUGACGCUGAGGAGCGAAAGCGUGGGGAGCGAACAGGAUUAGAUACCCUGGUAGUCCACGCCGUAAACGGUGGGCACUAGGUGUGGGCGACAUUCCACGUCGUCCGUGCCGCAGCUAACGCAUUAAGUGCCCCGCCUGG
rnacentral:rRNA from 1 species